GACGAACGCUGGCGGCGUGCCUAAUACAUGCAAGUCGAGCGGAUUGAUGGGAGCUUGCUCCCUGAUAUCAGCGGCGGACGGGUGAGUAACACGUGGGCAACCUGCCUAUAAGACUGGGAUAACUUCGGGAAACCGGAGCUAAUACCGGAUAAUCCCUUUCCUCUCAUGAGGAAAGGCUGAAAGAUGGUUUACGCUAUCACUUAUAGAUGGGCCCGCGGCGCAUUAGCUAGUUGGUGAGGUAACGGCUCACCAAGGCAACGAUGCGUAGCCGACAGGGGAGGGUGAUCGGCCUCACUGGGACUGAGACACGGCCCAGACUCCUACGGGAGGCAGCAGUAGGGAAUCUUCCGCAAUGGACGAAAGUCUGACGGAGCAACGCCGCGUGAGUGAUGAAGGUUUUCGGAUCGUAAACCUCUGUUGUUAGGGAAGAACAAGUACGAGAGUAACUGCUCGUACCUUGACGGUACCUAACCAGAAAGCCACGGCUAACUACGUGCCAGCCGCCGCGGUAA
rnacentral:rRNA from 1 species